rnacentral:rRNA from 1 species
GGAGGCUUGUAUGAAUGGUUGGACAAGAAGCAAACUGUCUCAAACACAAAAAUUGAAUUUGACUUUUAAGUGAAAAGGCUUAAAUAUUUUAAAGGGACGAUAAGACCCUAUAAAGCUUAAUAAUUUAGUAUAUAAUUAGAUGAGUUGAAAGUUUAAUAUUAUUUAUAUACUAAAUUAUUUCGUUGGGGCGACGAUGAUAUAAUUUGUAACUGUUUAAAUUUAAAAUACAGAGAUAUUUGUGUGUAAUGAUCCUUGUUGUUGAUUAAAAAUUUAAGUUACUUUAGGGAUAACAGC